AGCGAACGCUGGCGGCAGGCCUAACACAUGCAAGUCGAACGAACUCUUCGGAGUUAGUGGCGGACGGGUGAGUAACACGUGGGAACGUGCCUUUUGGUUCGGAAUAACUCAGGGAAACUUGUGCUAAUACCGAAUGUGCCCUUCGGGGGAAAGAUUUAUCGCCAUUAGAGCGGCCCGCGUCUGAUUAGCUAGUUGGUGAGGUAACGGCUCACCAAGGCGACGAUCAGUAGCUGGUCUGAGAGGAUGACCAGCCACACUGGGACUGAGACACGGCCCAGACUCCUACGGGAGGCAGCAGUGGGGAAUCUUGCGCAAUGGGCGAAAGCCUGACGCAGCCAUGCUGCGUGAAUGAUGAAGGUCUUAGGAUUGUAAAAUUCUUUCACCGGGGACGAUAAUGACGGUACCCGGAGAAGAAGCCCCGGCUAACUUCGUG
rnacentral:rRNA from 1 species